rnacentral:rRNA from 1 species
ACAAGUACCGUGAGGGAAAGUUGCAAAGUACUUUGAAGAGAGAGUUCAAGAGGACGUGAAACCGAUAGGGUGGAAGCAGAUGAAGUUGACGAACGAGUGUCGUAUUCAGGGCCGCAUCUUGUGUGCGGUCUGUUCUUGCGACCGAUGUGGGCUGGCGGCCUUGGUCAAUGCACUGUGUCAAGCGUCGAUGGUGACCCUGCGGAGGGACCGUCGGUCGGCAUACGAUGCGUGGUAUGGCUAAGGUUCGCGCCGGUCUUGAAGUCAGCGCCUCAUCUGACCCGUCUUGAAACACGGACCAAGGAGUGUAGCGUUUACGCAAGUCUUAGAGUGUAUCAAAACUUUGAGGCGCAACGAAAGUAAAGGUGGCUUUAGCUGCUGACUUGGGAUGCGCUGUCUCCUGUGGACGGCGCUGGACCAUGGUUAUAUCGCGAUCGCUUGCGAUGCGGUGUAAAUAGAGCGUAAACGGUGCGACCCGAAAGAUGGUGAACUAUGCCUGAGCAGGAUGAAGCCGGAGGAAACUCUGGUGGAAGUCCGAAGCGGUUCUGACGUGCAAAUCGAUCGUCUGACUUGGGUAUAGGGGCGAAAGACUAAUCGAACCAUCUAGUAGCUGGUUCCUUCCGA